GUCAGUGUUCUAGUUUAAAUUUUUUAAAAUCUACAAUGUAUUUUGUUUUAUUAUGAUGUGAUUUAAUGUAUAUGUUUUAGUGUGUAUUUAAUGUUUUUAGGUCAGAUAGCAAAUGUUGCCAUUCUUCUUGAAAACUGCUGGUCUUUAAAGAACAGUCAUCAAUUAGGAGAAACAUUUUCAGAUAAUCCAACCAAUUAGCAUCGGAGGAAGUCUAUAUAUUGCCACUUUUCUCACCUCCAUUCCCAGACAACAGCAGGCCAAAUAUGCUUAUUCUGUCUAUUACAUAUACAGUAGGUGGUUAACCAAAAUGAGCUUUUUGCCACCGCGAGUGCCGCCGCCGCCGUGUCUGCAAAGUUGCAGCUUUUGACCGCUGAGUGGCACUUUAACCACAAGUUAUCAAACAAACGCAUCAAAGCACAUUUUUGCAAAUAGCCGUUAGCUUUGCCUCGAUGGUGUGUUACAUUUGACAGCUGCAGUAGGGGGAAAAAGAAAGAAAAACACUGUAGUUAAAAUAUUGACUAUUCACAGAUGAAAGUUUAAUACUUAUGAAGUUAUGUGUGUUUCUUAGAACGAAUUCAAGCAAGAUAAAUGUCAAGCCUAUGAGCCUGUGCUUAUAUUUUUUCUAAGGGUGUACUCACACUAGGCGUUCUGAACUGUGCCCGAGCGCAUUUGACCCCCAAAGUGCGGUUCGUUUGACUAGUGUGAGAGCACCAUGCCGCGCUCGGUUCGUUUAGCCGGCCCUGGCCUGGUUGGAAGAGGUGGGCCAGGGCACGGUUUGGUUGGGCUCAGGCACGGUACGCACGCAGUGUGAGCGCUAACCACGCCAGAGCACGGAACAGAUAGUAUUUUGUGUGCGCUACAGUCAUCAUUACGACCGCAAACAUAUUCUAUUACUACCAAUAAUAAUCGCAGGGGGGAUAAUCGCGCUCGGGCACGGUUCAAGGCAACCAUGCCUAGUGUGAGUACACCCUAAGCUACACAGUAUUACACCAUAUUUUAGAUUUGAAACAUUUAAUAGGUGUGCAGUCAUUGUUCAACUAAUCGCACAUUUAUAUUAAAUUAACAUCUAUACUCCAUAAUGAGCCUUAAUAUAUUCCGCGCUCAAGCACAUGCAUUAAGUUUGCCACAAAGCACACAUUGUAAAAAAUGACCGUGAUUUUAACGGUAAAAAACUCUGAAAAUGUUACAGUACAAAUCU
ensembl:lncRNA